AUAAGUGAAUAACGCUGCAUGUUACAAGUUACAACAUUGCAAUGAGUUAUGUACUUUCUCCAAAACACCGGUAAUGACUGAUCCCAAUACUUUACCAUUAUAAACAUAGAAAAACACAAGUCGUUACAAAAAGAACCAUUUGUUGUUAGAUAUGCUAUAGACACAAAGCAUAUUCCCAUUAUCCAUCCCAAGCCAAACACCAAAUCAC
rnacentral:lncRNA from 1 species